rnacentral:SRP_RNA from 1 species
GCUGGGCGUGGUGGCGCAUGCCUGUAGUCCCAUCUACUUGGGAGGCUGAGGCAGGAGAAUCACUUGAGCCCGGGAGGCAGAGGUUGCAGUGAGCCAAGAUCACACCACUGCACUCCAGCCUGGGCAACAGAGUGAGACUCUGUCUCAG